rnacentral:rRNA from 1 species
AGAGUUUGAUCAUGGCUCAGGACGAACGCUGGCGGCAGGCUUAACACAUGCAAGUCGAGCGCGAAGCUCCUUUCGGGGAGUGGAGAGCGGCGGACGGGUGAGUAACGCGUGGGGACCUACCCUUCGGUGGGGGACAACCUCGGGAAACUGGGGCUAAUACCGCAUACGCCGGACCCUUUUGGGUUUGGGAAAGAUUUAUCGCCGAAGGAUGGACCCGCGUCCGAUUAGGUAGUUGGUGGGGUAACGGCCUACCAAGCCCGCGAUCGGUAGCUGGUCUGAGAGGACGAUCAGCCACACUGGGACUGAGACACGGCCCAGACUCCUACGGGAGGCAGCAGUGGGGAAUCUUGGACAAUGGGCGCAAGCCUGAUCCAGCCAUGCCGCGUGAGUGAAGAAGGCCUUCGGGUUGUAAACCUCUUUCACCGGUGAAGAUAAUGACGGUAGCCCGGAGAAGAAGCCCCGGCUAACUCCGUGCCAGCAGCCGCGGUAAUACGGGAGGGGGGCUAGCGUUGUUCGGAAUUACUGGGCGUAAAGCGCGCGUAGGCGGCGGAACAAGUUGGGCGUGAAAGCCCGGGGCUCAACCCCGGAUGUGCGCCCAAGACUGUUCUGCUCGAGGCCGAGAGAGGGUGGCGGAAUUCCCAGUGUAGAGGUGAAAUUCGUAGAUAUUGGGAAGAACACCAGUGGCGAAGGCGGCCACCUGGCUCGGUACUGAGCUGAGGGCGAAAGCGUGGGGAGCAAACAGGAUUAGAUACCCUAGUAGUCC